rnacentral:pre_miRNA from 1 species
AGUGAGCGUUGGUCUGGAUCACAGUGAAAACCCUCCUGUGACUAGAUUUUACACUCACUAA